rnacentral:lncRNA from 1 species
AGAACUUCUGAGCAACGUGGCAGCUGCCGGGACCGGGCCUCUGAGUGCAGAGAGCAGGCGUUGCCAGGAGCGGACUCAGACAGUGGAGGCCCCUCGCUGACCCUCUCCGGGGCCACUGCAAAGGAAGAAGAAAAGCACAGGCAUCAGCUUCAACAAUGCAAAACAAAGUAAGCUUGAAUUCAGAUGAGGGGCAGUUAAAAUCGCAGCCUAGAAGUCCAAGUGUGGUUUGUAACACUCCAAACCCCAUGUCAGCCUUCAGUGAUUGUUCUGCUGACCAUGUUGCUACAGAGCGGCUUGGGUUUUUCCUUGUGGCAACUCCCCAGGGUGACAGAUUAUUCGGCAAUGUCACCAUUUUGUAGAUGUAUUCGGGAUUUCCAGCCAUAAGCCAUGGAUGAUAUUGGGGAUCCUUUAUUCCUGGUGGGUGCCCAUAAGAGUUUGCAAACUAUACCCAAAAGGGCACGGGAACCCCUAAACUUUCCAGGCUGUCUUGGCACACGGCUCACUAGAACUGUUAACGCCGUCAAAGUAUCUCUGACACGUCCUUAGCCUGUGUUUGAAAACCUGCAGAGAUGGGAUACGCCCCUUUACCAGAGACAGUGCAUUCCGUCCACUGGGAGUGACACACGGCCAAGCCAGGCUUCAAAGAGAGAGGUUCACCGUAUUCCAGUAGUGACUACUGGGAUUUAGGGUUGGAUCACCUUACCAGAGCUUGGAAGCUGCUAGAAGUUAACAUUAAUUUUAUUGUUCUUUAAAAUGAAAGUCCAGCAGGAGGGCCAGGAUUUGGGCAUCUCGGUCCUUCACGAAAAGAAAGGGUGAUGUUGAUUAGCCAUGUUCCACAUCCCCCGAGUUAAAUAUAGGAAUAGUUCUGACAUCUGACUCAAGAAUGUGUUUUCUUGCAUGAUAUUAAGGCAGAUGCACAGAUCCACGUAGAUUAAUCCCCUUCACUAGUAGCAGGGGCCCGAUGAGGUAGCUGAUGAGGAAGAGCCCCCGAGACCAGGCCCAGCGUGGGGCCACGGCCUUGGGAUCUGGACGACACCCCAGCGGUUCUGUGCCGCCAGCAGGCCCUGCCGCAUCUCUGGGCUGGAGCCCUGACUGUCAGCAGAUGAGGCCAUGGGUUGGGGUGUCUCUCCCACCAGAACGGCUUCGUGGGGUGCUCACUAUCCCCUGGUCAUGCUUCGGCACAGCUGGCACCGGCUCCCUGAGGGCCCACUGAUUGGUUUUACACAAGUCUGUGAAGCUUCCCACAAUGCACGAUGUCCUUAGCAAAUACAACACAGCCCGCUGGUAUCGCCUCUUCCUUCACUACCUCCACAACCACUUGUGGCAGAGGAGGAGCCUCCAGUUGCACUUGGCCAAGGCGGCUUUUGUAAGAACUUGACGGGACCAAGCCACCCCCACGGCAUCAUUUCCACGGGAGAACACAUCCCAGCGAAACUCCAAGGAAAGGGUAGUUUUGUGAAGAAAAUGCUUGUGUUCUAGGACACAGCCCAGCAAGUCCCUGACUUUAAAAAAUGUGUAAGAAACAGGAAUGUAACAUUGACGAAACAUGCCUGCCAAGAUGGACUUUCCUUGUGGCGAGACCCUUCCUUCUCCUCAAUGCCUGGGUGCUAGCAGGGUAGCAUCCCCAGCCUCAGAGCUCAAGCGUCAUGAUUGGGGAAAUGAGACUGGGCAGCCAUUCGGAAGGCCGGGCAAAGAAGAGUGUAAAGAGACAUUGGUCUCGUGCUGCAGAAUGAGUUACAAAUAGUGAAUCCUCAGCAAUACUGUCUCCCCGUGGACUGGAAUUUGGACCCGCUGCUGUGGCGGGCAGCUUUGACCCAAUGAGGACCACGCCUGGAAGGAUGUCAGAGCAGCAGGGACCUGGGUGGAGUGACCUGGUGGAACGGAGACGCCUGCCGGCUCAGCAGCCACAGCAGCAGCUGCCCGUCAUGGGACAGCAACGUGGCAAGAAUUCCCCACGGGUUCCGGGGGAGCCUGUGUUGCUGGACCCUUUGCCACACCACCGAACCUGGCCCAGAGGAGCAGGAAUUGGCCGAGUUCCAGGCCCUGCACCUGACGGGGGCUUCCUCAGCCUCUCAUGUGAUCCUCGCAGCAGGCUAACGUGCAGGCCCUUCUGUUUUCCAGAUUUGACAGUUGAGAGGGGAAAGCCAUGUUUUCAAAUGUUACAGUAGAAGAGGCAGGAUGCAAAUCCAGCCCUGGCUGGUGCUGAAGCUGGGGCAGGUGCAUCUGCAGGGUGCUGCCUUCAAGGCAGAGGGGUGACUGCUGUGUUUCAUGGCAGGGAAGCCCCCCUUGAUGCUCACACCACCCAGGUCGUACGGCUUUGAGGACAUCCCUUUCUUCAAACCCAGGUCAUCUGAACAGUGUGGCCUGAAUCCCAGGUUGGGAGUGAGUAAUUCAUCAUCCAAACUGAUUAGAGAAUCUGAGUGAGGGACCUUCAAGUCAGGGAUAGAGAACGGGCUUCGUCUUCUGGAGCUGCCAUAACAAAAUGCCGAAGACUGGGCGGCUUCAACCACACAAGGGCCUUUCGACACAGCCCUGGCAACUGGAAGCUGGGGGUCGAGGUGUGGGCAGGGCUGGUUCCUGGGGAAGGAUCUCCUCCCGGCUGCAGAUGGCCGCCCCUGGCUGCAUGCCCGCCUGGCUUUCCUCGGUGCUCACUCACCCCGGUGCCUCUUCUGCUUCUUAGAAGGAUCCCCAGCAGAUGAGGGCCCCAGCCUGGUGACCUCACUUACCCUCCAUCAUGUGCUGAAGGCCUGCGACAAGCACUUCUCAUCUUCCCAUCCUCUGACGGAGCCAGUCCCACCCACCACGUGGACGUGGGUGUUGUCUGUGGACCAAGGUCAGUGUUUUGUUGGUUUUUCUUAUUGUUUGGCACCAGCAUUACAUAGACCAAUAGACCUUGUUGUUCUCCGCCCGGAGGGGCUGGUGCUGUGGCUGGGGCACCGCCCUGGGUAGGCCCCGCCCCAGGCCAUGCAGUUCCCAGGCUCCUUUCUGGGAGGGGUUGGUUCUCACAAAGGGGGAAAAUCAUGAAAUGGCAAACCUGAGUCACGGCAGCACAGAGGACAGCCCCUGAAGGCAUAAGCAGGAAGGGCAUAAUGCUUUCCAAAAGAGAAAACUACAUGGACUUUACUGACUCAUCACUGAGUUCUGAGAUCACUGACACUUACACAUGUGUCCACGCUGUUGUGAGUCAUGGGGAAAAAUGGAGGAGCAAAAUGACCAAGUGGCAGGGUCUGUAAGAGUCUCUCACUGUAGGGAUGGGCUGCCCUGAGGAGACACUGCCCAGGCCUGGGUGCCCCGGGCCAAAGUCCUGACCCUUGCAGGGCUGUGUCCUGUGGAUGACAUGUGGCACUGGACUGCUCACUGACAGAAUUAGAAGUACCUUUUCCAAUAUUCAUGCCAUGAAGAGUUUGUUGGUGAGUUCUGAUCCACCCCUCUCAAAUCUGCCUAUAUAUGGGGCCGUCCAUGGUGAUGGGGUGGACAGCUGGGCUCUGCAACCUGCCAGCGUUUUCCUGCUGUGCCCUGAGGCAGUGCUCAGGCUAGCCAAAGAUCUGUGGGUGCUGAAUGCAGCUGUCCUCAUCGUGAGCUCCCUUUUUGUCACCAAAGCUGCUUCUCUUGGUUGAUUCUGUUAGGUGUGGGGUGUAUCCACAAUUUCUUAGGUUAAUACUUAAAAGAUAGAGACGUACUCAAUCCAGGUCCAGUGGAAUGCCUUUGGUAGUGGGAUUGUACCCAAAGUUCACAGAAGAUAAAUUUUAUAUAAAAUGAGCCAGGUUUGCUUUGUACAUUUCCAACUGUAGAAUGAAAUUUAGGGGACUGAAUAGUCAGUGUCUUAUUUCACUUGUGUCUUUGGAUACAAAUGUUUUUCUUUUAAAACUCCUGACUGCAUAUUCCUUGUGUGUGUGUGGCUUUUAGUCCUAGAUUGUAAAGCUUGCCAAGUCUGCCUGCUGGGAACUGACUCCUCUAUGCAGAAGCUCCCCUUCCUCUGACACAGUGCAGAAAGACACACGCCUGGGGCACCAUCAUCACUCGGCAUCCCUUGAUGAUGGAACUGCCCUGAGACAGUUCCAAGGAGUGGCGGCCCAAGGCCUCACACUGGACGGAGGCUGAGCUCCACUGCGGCCCCGGCAGGCGGGCUUCCUAAGAGCAGCGUGGAAUCCCGGGGCUCUGCGCACCGUGCCCGGCCCCGGGCUCCCUGACGCGAGGCAAUGCCUGGGCACAGCGUACGGCCACCGGCACCUUCACUCCUCACCUGUGCACGCGAGUGUGGGGGAUGAAGCGACAUCGGUGUGUGGCGUCUCAGUGCAGCGCCGGCACACACAGCCCUAAGCAGAUGCGGAGCAGAGAUGACGGUGGAGUCACCCCGCGGGUGCAACCCCAUCUUAGCAGGAGGGCCGGGUUUUGGGCAGCUCGGGCCUUCAGAAAAAGGAUCAUGUCAGCGUGCAUGCCACGCUGCACGUCCCGGGAGUUAAAUCUAGGAAUAGUUCUGACACCUGACUUAGGAGUGUGUUUCACUGCAAGUAUUAAGGCAGAUCCGCAGACCCAUGUAGAUGAAUCACCUUCACUUUCAGCUACUAGGAGGGGCCCCAUGAGGUAGCUGAUGAGGAAGAGCCCCCUAGACGAGGCGCAGCGUGGGGCCACGGCCUUGGGAUCCGGGCGCCACCCCAGCGGUUCUGUGCCGCCAGCAGGCCCUGCCGCAUCUCCGGGCUGGAGGCUUGACUGUCAGCAGAUGAGGCCACGGGGUCGGGGUGUCUCUCCCACCAGAACGGCUUCGUGGGGUGCUCACUAUCCCCUGGUCACGCUUCGGCACGGCUGGCACGGGCUCCCUGAGGGGCUGUUGGAGAACCCCCAGGCCCCCUGGGUCUUGCCACGGAGACCACCCAGCCUCAGGCUGGUUCUCAGGUGGCCCCUUCUCUACGCUUAGGACGUGGCUUUUCCCAAGCUCUUUCCCAGCUGCCUGUCACUUUUCUUCCCAGCUUUCCCUUCCGAAGGGAGCUCGGCUUCAUUCCAUGGCUUUCCAGUCACGUCAUAAGCAUUUCCUCGUCUGACCCACGAACUGAUAAAACGCUCUGGACGGGGCGGCCUGCAUGCUCCAGGGACUGCAUCAUCUCCGUGGGCGGCAGGGCGCCUGCAGGCACCCAGCCUUGCGCGGGGCAGGCGGUCUUCUGAGGGUGCAACCCUGUCCCCCCAGGGCCCUAAACACAGCGUCAAAACUGAGCUACCUCCACAAAAAUUUUGAACAAACUAGAAAUCAUAAGGUGGUGAAUAAUGAUAUGUUACCAUACGCAAGUAGAAAAUUGAAAGUUUCAGCAAAAACUAAGUCCAAAGCAACAGCUGCGCCAGGACGGAGAGCCCACAGUGAAAUUGCUGCGUGCGCCCAGGGCGGCGGCGGCGCCAGGCAGGCGCGGAUCCCGCUGCGAGGGACUUGCCUGCUGACCUGGGGCCGCAGGGAGCUCUGCUUUAUCAGGAGAAUAUUUGAAAAGCGAUCUAUUAAAAGGAAUGCUUAAGUGAAUUAUAAAAGUCUGAGAAAGGAAAUGGGAGAACCAAGUUAUCUAAAUUUUCUCAAAACUAAUUAUUAGCUGGGCGAAAAUGUAGAUAUUCGGGGCACUGAGGGUGGUGAGUGCGAUUUUGCUUGCACCAUUGGCAAAGUAUACCUUGAAUUUAUCAAAAUUUUGUCAUCAUCUAGUCUUAAAUAGUUAAACGGUAAGCAAACGACGCUAAACAAAAUAAGGAGACAGAGAAAAGUGCGGACAGUUCUCACAGGAGUUUCCACUGGGGCUGCAUUCCCAGGGCGCUGGCCGGGAAAGCUCAGUCCACUGAGCACAAUAUGCUUUCUCCAUAGCGUGAGGGCUGCCACCAUCUACCGAGUGGAUCAUUAGGCCUGUCUCCCAGAGACAGCAAAAAAUGUGCAGAACUACGUACACAUCCGUGGGCCGGAAAGCACUUUCCCUAUAGAUUCUGGUGCCCUGCGGCUCUCGGAUGGGGAGAUGCGCGCACUCCAGACCCCCACAGGCCCCCAGAGCACGGUGGAGGGUGGGGGCAGAGUCAUAAGAGACGUUUUACCAAACAUCACUGAAUGCAGCUUUUUCUCUCCCUUGAGAAAAAUGAAACACCCAGUAAUUUAAUUUUAAAUUUAAAAGCUGCCUCUUUAAACUUUGUUGAAAAAUACAGAAUAUGCCACCAUUCUGCAGUUUCAUGUCAUGAAUGGAUAAAGUACGAGGAAAGGGAGGGGAGGAAUUUGUAAAAGUUUAAUGGAAAAGGCAAGAAGAAAGCUGGCCAAGAAAGAGAGAGGGAGAACCAAGAGAGACGGGAUGUGGGGAGGAGAGAAAAGCGUGCAGAUGAGGAGAGAGCGGGGGAGGAAGGGGACACAGACAGCCCGGAGCGUCCCUUUCCGAGGAGCGCUGUGGACAGGCCUGAGCAGCCUGGACGGGAGUGACUUGAUGAUGUGAUGGGCGGAUUUCCUGGCAAACUUUCCACCUCUUUCAGGUCACACCCAUCUUCAGUCUCUGCUCACCAUGACAGAGUCACAGCCACACCCGGGACAGAACCUGGGCUCCGGGCAGCAGGUAAUAGGAGGAUAUUCUACCCAGGGCCGGAACAAGCCAGGUCCAGCCUCAACUGCUCUGUGGCUAGUAAGUGCGAGGAUGCUGUGUCACAGGUGUCACACGUCACUAAGAGAACGUCGUGGGCGCACGGGGAAUGUCUUUAUGGCACUGUCUGGAAGCAGGCUGCAUCUCAGCAGCUCCAGAGGUUACAGGGGCUGGUUUUCACCAACACAAGAAGUGUUAGAGACAGGAGACGUGGAGGAACCUGUCGAACCUGGUGGGGAUCGAGUUUAAACACAUCUGCACACACUUGGGUGUGUGUGUCCCAGCGCAUCUCAGCCCUGAGUGCCCACACCUGGCUUCCCUGCCCCCCCACCCCUCCUACCCCACAGUCCACACUGCCCCACACCUACUCGUGUCCAGAAAGCUCUCGCUGAGCCUCCUCCCACAUCAGCCACUCUUGGAGGACUGAGAAAACAGUGGUGGGGGGCCAGUUCCCAAAUCCAGGCGCUCCUGGCACAUCCAAAUCCGGGACGACUGACCAAGGGCUCGCACUCAGCCUGAGGAAGCAAGUGGUCCUUUGACUCGGAGUAAGAACUGCUCAGAGGCCAACGUGCUCUGGCUCGGGUCCCCCUGGCACCUCCAGGCAGGUCUUUCUAAUUUGGUUCCUGAACACGCUCCAGCUCCCAUCCUGAGGCCUGCCCUUGCCCUUCCCUCCCCCAUUGCUCUUCCCACCCUCCUCCCUUGCCAUUCCCUGUCCUCAUUGCUCUUCCCACCUUCCUCCUUCCGCUCCCUCUCAAGGCCCUGCCCUGUCUGGUUCACCAUCCUCCUCUCGUCCUCUCCUGGCUCCUCCCCAGAGCUUGGUGUUCAUUCGGACGCCUUCUCCCUGCAGCCUCCACCAGGGCCCUGGCUGCCCUCGCCCUCCAGCAAGUCACUGUAUUUUACGUUCUUCAUGGAGUUUUUUACUUUUGAGAUUUAUCAACUUUACAUGCAUGUUUGCUGCACCCCCUCACUAGAUUUCAUCUACAUGGGAACAGAGACCCCUCUGCUUUGCUCCCUGCUGUAAACAUCCCGGCUCGGGAAAGUCUCUAUCUACAGACACUGCUGGGUGCUGAGUUUCCAGAGCAGUCAAUGCGAUGUGCGACUCCGUGGUGAGAACUGAAGAUGCAUGAGGAUGAGGGGCGCUCGAUCCCUGUCCUCUGUGAUCUGGUACAACAGAAUCAACCCCUGCAUGGUGGGCCCCAGUGAGCAGCCUGCGGGAUGCACGGAGCCACCCAGAAACACGUGAACUCGGUGGCAGCAGCAGAGACAGAAACAUCUCACAGUACACCAGGAAUGAAAGUGUAAAAUACUUAGCAUUUGACAAGGUUUCCAGUUAUAUGUUCUUCUUUGAGCAUCAAAUGAGGGUCCCAUACCUAUUUCUGUGCUCAUGUUACAGACAGAAUGGAAACACAGAGAGUUACAGAGAUGUGAUCCAGGUGGGGGCUGGGAAGGGGCUUCCUGCAGAGGUUUAUACCCAGGCUCGUGGAGAAAAUGCCCUACGAGGGACCAAGCCAAGGACUCAAGCAAACGCAGGGAAUGAGACAGCGUUUCCAGGCCAGAAUGCGGGAGCCCUUCAGCAGAAUCAGGGGUUAGGAAGCUCGGUGACUUCAGGCAGGAAGGCGAUGGAACGGGAACAGGGUCUUUCUGUUUCACGUAGGCGAUGGAACGGGAAUGGGGGUCUUUACUUUUCACGCAGGUGAUGGAACAGGAACGGGGUCCUUCCAUGUGGGAAAUGCUGAGCCUGCGCUGCCAACCGCCUCCGGGUGAGACAUCUUGUGGACAGCUGGGACAGGCGGCAGAGUAAGAGGCAGUGGUUUAGAAGUCAAAUGCCCUUGGACAAUUGUGGAAGCUUUUGAUUUUAUUAUUUUAUUAUUAACUGAAAAAAAUAGAAAAUAGAAAAUAGAAAAAAAUAGAAUUGGAGAGGAGGAAUAAGUAGAUGUUUAGCAACAGAGCGUGCAAUGCAGCAGCACACUGAGAAAAGUAGCCCAGAAAGGACGGGGAGCUUCAGGAGGCGACAACUCACAAAUAUGACGGCCACUCACAGGCCAGUCCUGCAAACGACAGAUGACUCCAGGAGAGGCCGGGCGUGGUGGCUCACACCUGCAAUCCCAGCACUUUGGGAGGCUGAGGCAGGUGGAUCACCUGAGGUCAGGAGUUCGAGACCAGCCUGGCCAACAUGGCGAAACCCCGUCUCUACUAAAAAUACAAAAAUUAGCCGGGCGUGGUGGCGGGCACCUGUAAUCUCAGCUACUCGGGAGGCAGAGGCAGGAGAAUUGCUUGAACCUGGGAGGCAGAGGUUGCAGUGAGUCGAGAUCAUGCCAUUGCAAUUCAGCCUGGGCAACAGGGCGAGACUCCAUCUCGAAAACAAAACAAAACAAAACAAAUGACUUGAGGAGACGGCUUCAGAAAAUACUGUUGUGUUUGGUGACUGAGUGGUUAUUCAUGUUCUUGGACAAUGCUUUCCAAAUGUUAGUUUGCCUACAGGUCACGCAAACAUCCUGCAUGUGAAGGCAGACUCCGGAGGUCUGGGAAGCACUGGGUUUUGGGUUUUUUUGUAUAAAAGCUUCCAGAUGGCACUGAUGCUGCCUGUCAGGGGACUACACCUUGACAAGCCUGUAGAGACUGUGUUAGAAGGGCAGGGUGAACACCAGAUCCCGUAGCGAGGUAAGGGGUAAGCAGGUGUGAGGAGGCAGGGCAGACACAUGGCCGCCUUCUAGGAGUCUGAGAGUGGAGAUUAGGAUAAUAGAAGCUUAAUGGCAUUUUAAGGUUAAAGAUCUUAUUUUUUGCUUUGUAUUGAUUUUGGACGGAUGAGUCCUGGAAAAAUUAAUUGCCAAGGGUCACUUGGAAGAGAGUGGGUGCCGUGACAUCGGUGGGGUCACCCAAUGUCAGACUGGCGAGCAUUUUGAGUUGCCCGUAACUGUUGUGCCUCAAGCUCCUGGUGUUCCCGGAGGCUGUGCCCUGGAGGCCCGUUGCAGAGAACACGGAGGCACAUUCUCCUGCUGUGAAGUCAGCCCAGGCAAGGCAGGCGUGGCAGCCUGUACCAUUGGUGUGGCCACGGGGCCGAGAGGGCAGGAAACAGAGAGAGGGAGGUUGGUUUCAUGUUGCAAAAUGCCGGAUGAGUGGGCAAACCCCCCGCAAUUCUGUCUGGCCAAAUUAUACUUUUAGGUUCAGGCCUAUACUUUAUAUUUUAAAAGCUCAAAUUAUUUUAUAAUCUCCUGAAAAUACAUCAUCUUGCCAUUUGCUUUCAAUACUGCACUGCGACCUUUUAUAAUCUUUCAAAAACAUGUUCUCCCUUUGGAUAAAUGAGAAAAUAAAUAGUAUUCAGUGAAGACCAACUACUGAAUUAUUUUAAAAUAUCUUGUUUAUAAAAGGUUUUUACCAGUGAGAGGAUUUAAGAGUUGCUUGGCUCUUGAAGCCAGCAGAGACUUCUGUGUGCAUUGCUUCAUUUGUGGGGGAGGACUCUAGCCCCACAUGGCAGAUGAAAAACUGUGCCUCGGAGGAGUUAAGCGAAUUGCUGAGGAUGGUACCACAGAGAGCGACUGAGGCGACAGCCAGCAUCCAGCCUCCAGAGUUCCACUGUGCUUCCCCAAAGACAGGCGGGCUCUCCUCAAGCACAUUUUUACUUUAGGAGCUGCUGAAACUGGGGUGUGGACCACGGGAUCCCCCCUGACCAGCCUCAAGCCCGAGCCUGCGAUUCUCUCAUCCGCACUUCACCAGCUGAGGUGAAGGGUGGGCCUCCAUUUUGGUUGAAUUACAUUCUCUCUCACAGAACCAUCUGGAAACCCCAUCACCUUAAUAAUUCAGUGUUGUUUGAUGCUGUGAAAGGUGAAAAAGACUUCAAUUCUUACUACCAAAUUGUGCUGGGGAGUGACACAGAUAGUCAGUCUCUCAGCAGCACGCACACCCUGUUAGAAGGGGGUAUGGUUUUUACUUUCCGCUUAUUCCCGGCAAAUCCUGUGGCUUCCACUAAGCAAGGAUGUCCUCUGAGCACCCUGACCCUCCCGAUUCCCGUGCACCGCCCCAGCCUCCGCUGUCGCCUGCCCUCCACCUGGCGCCUCCGUUAUUUACUUGUUCCCCAGGUUCAGUCUCGGGCGGCCUCGGCUUUCUCCACGUCUUCUCCCUGCACAGUGGCAACGCUUCCAGAACCCCAGCUGCUCUAACACCAGGCCCAGCUCCUCCAACCCAAGCGUCUCUACCCAACUGUGGGAUCUGUCCGCACCUCCAGAUGGGGAGGCCCACGUCUCCGUGUCACCUGAGGGCGGGUGUGUUUAGAAGCAUGCUUUUGCAUCUCCACCACUGGAGACACAGGGACUUGGGGUGUGUACGUUUUGUGAAAACUCAAACAUGGGCCUCACCUUUUGGUUUUAUGGAUGUGAACCACGUCCCUGCAGUCAUCAGAGUGGAAUGCUGCUAGCGGCUGGCCCUAGGCUGAGUGUUUGACCGGGAAUACCCACACACUUCUCUCAACUAACCCGUGAGGUUGGCAUGUUCAGUACCUGGGGAGAAAGUGGGGUAACAAUGACAGGACUAAAGCCCACAGCCUGGGGCCUGGCACCUGGCAAGUGCCCUCUGGGUGUUGGUGGAGUUCUUACUUGGAUGACUUUAAUCAUUACAGAGGCUCCCUAAGGCCACACAGCUGGUAGGGGCUCUGGCCCCGUCUCAUCUCACUCCAGAGCCCCAGGUGAGUGCAAGGCAGAACCUCUAUGUUUCUGUCUCAGAUUCUUCUCAUUGCUUUGUUUUUCUCAAAACAUUUCAUUUUAUCAAUGAUGAAUACUAAAAUUAGAUUAUUUUCUUUUUGUUGAAACUAUAUGUAUUGAUUUUUUGUCUUUGGAGUUGUCAUAAAACACCUGUGGUCAAAUCCAGGCCCUUCCAGUUACCAGCAAUGUGACCCUCUGCACGCUAAUCACCUCCCUGAUGACUCAGUUUCCCCAUCUGUAAAGGAGAAGCAAUGGAAGUACUGGGCAGUUUAAAUAACAUAAAUGUUGCAGAACACUUGGUACAUGGCCAGACAUGCAGUAGGUAUUCCAUAAAGGAAGCUAUUUGUAUUUUUUGUUUCAAAUUCUAUUCCAUGGUGAACGUUUGUUUACUGUCUCAGAUGUGAUGUGAGAUUCCAUUUUGAAUAGCUUUCAGGAAUGUGACACGAAAUUAUCUUCCUUCUUCCAUCAGCUAAAAACUACUGUAUAAAUGUUUCAAGCUCUGCUCCCCCUACUCUUACCAAUGAUAAACAUGCCCCUAGGUUUCCCCUACAGCCACCCCAGCUCCUCGCUCUACAUCUCCCUCUCCCCACCGCCACCUUCCGCCCCUGCCCUGCGGCUCCCACCGCCCCUGCCCUGCUGCUCCCACCGCCCCUGCUCUGCUCUGCUGCUCCUUCCGCCCCUGCCCUGCGGCUCCUACGGCCCCUGCCCUGCUGCUCCUUCCGCCCCCGCCCCGCUGCUCCUUCCGCCCCCGCCCCGAGGCUCCUUCCGCCCCUAUCGCUCUGCUCCUUCCGCCCCUGCCCGGCGGCUCCUUCCGCCCCUGCCGCUCUGCUCCUUCCACCCCUGCUCUGCUGCUCUGGGCUUUCCCCGAGGCUUUGCUGCCCACACUCUUCUUGCUCGUCAGACCCACCAAGGUUGCAGAGAAAGGCAGACAGCAGCAGAUGGCUAGGAAACGAAUACUCAACAAUAGGGUGAUUUCAGAACUAAAUUCCAAAGAAUUCAGCCUACAGAGCAAAAACUCACUCAAAAAACCAAAAAGAUGGAGAU